rnacentral:rRNA from 1 species
GUGGGGAAUCUUAGACAAUGGGCGCAAGCCUGAUCUAGCCAUGCCGCGUGAGCGAUGAAGGCCUUAGGGUUGUAAAGCUCUUUCGCUGGGGAAGAUAAUGACUGUACCCAGUAAAGAAGCCCCGGCUAACUCCGUGCCAGCAGCCGCGGUAAUACGGAGGGGGCUAGCGUUGUUCGGAAUUACUGGGCGUAAAGCGCGCGUAGGCGGAUUGGAAAGUUGGGGGUGAAAUCCCGGGGCUCAACCUCGGAACUGCCUUCAAAACUCCCAGUCUUGAGUUCGAGAGAGGUGAGUGGAAUUCCGAGUGUAGAGGUGAAAUUCGUAGAUAUUCGGAGGAACACCAGUGGCGAAGGCGGCUCACUGGCUCGAUACUGACGCUGAGGUGCGAAAGCGUGGGGAGCAAACAGGAUUAGAUACCCUUGUAGUCC